rnacentral:rRNA from 1 species
AGAGUUUGAUCCUGGCUCAGAUUGAACGCUGGCGGCAGGCCUAACACAUGCAAGUCGAGCGGUAACAGGGGAAGCUUGCUUCUCGCUGACGAGCGGCGGACGGGUGAGUAAUGUAUGGGGAUCUGCCCGAUAGAGGGGGAUAACUACUGGAAACGGUAGCUAAUACCGCAUAAUCUCUUAGGAGCAAAGCUGGGGAACUUCCGUCCUUGCGCUAUCGGAUGAACCCAUAUGGGAUUAGCUAGUUGGUGUGGUAAUGGCUCACCAAGGCGACGAUCCCUAGCUGGUCUGAGAGGAUGAUCAGCCACACUGGGACUGAGACACGGGCGAGACUCCUACGGGAGGCAGCAGUGGCGAAUAUUGCACAAUGGGCGCAAGCCUGAUGCAGCCAUGCCGCGUGUAUGAAGAAGGCCUUAGGGUUGUAAAGUACUUUCAGUUGGGAGGAAGGCGUUGAUGCUAAUAUCAUCAACGAUUGACGUUACCAACAGAAGAAGCACCGGCUAACUCCGUGCCAGCAGCCGCGGUAAUACGGAGGGUGCAAGCGUUAAUCGGAAUUACUGGGCCUAAAGCGCACGCAGGCGGUUGAUUAAGUUAGAUGUGAAAUCCCCGGGCUUAACCUGGGAAUGGCAUCUAAGACUCGUCACCUAGAGUCUUGUAGAGGGGGGUAGAAUUCCAUGUGUAGCGGUGAAAUGCGUAGAGAUGUGGAGGAAU